rnacentral:rRNA from 1 species
AUUGAACGCUGGCGGCAGGCCUAACACAUGCAAGUCGAGCGGAGCGGCGGACGGGUGAGUAAGGCCUAGGAAUCUGCCUGGUAGUGGGGGAUAACGUCCGGAAACGGGAGAUAAUAACGCAUACUAUCAGAUGAGCCUCGGUCGGAUGAGGUAGGUGGUGGGGGAAAGGCCUACCAAGGAGACGAUCCGUAACUGGACUGAGAGGAUGAUCAGUCAAACUGGGACGGGGACACGGUCCAAACUCCUACGGGAGGCAGCAGGUGGUAAUAUUGGACAAUGGGCGAAAGCUUGAUCCAGCCAGGCCGCGUGUGGGAAUAAGGUCUUCGGAUUGUAAAGCACUUGAAGUGAGAAGGCGUUACUCGCAGAAUAAGCAACGGCUAACUCCGUGCCAGCAGCCGCGGUAAUAC